AUGCCAAGGUCUGGGCACUCCCUCUGAAGAUCUUUGUACCUUUCCCAUGCAUCAUAAAGAGAUUUAUUAUCCUUUUGUCUAAAAGUAUUGAGUUUAGCAUGGAGUUU